UAGCAUAAUCAUUAGCUUUUUAAUUGAAAGCUUGUAUGAAUGGUUAAACAAAAGAAAUUCUGUCUCUUUUCUAAAAAUUGAAUUUAACUUUUAAGUGAAAAGGCUUAAAUUUUUUAAGGGGACGAUAAGACCCUAUAAAGCUUUAUAAUAAAAUAGUAAUUUUAAAAUAAAUUAGAAAUAAAAUAUAUUAUUUUUUAUUUUGUUGGGGCGACUAAGAUAUAAAUAUUAAUAACUGUUAAAGUGAAACACAUAGAUUUAUGAAUUUUUAAAUGAUCCUAAUUAAAGAUUAAAAGACAAAGUUACUUUAGGGAUAACAGCGUUAUUUCUUUUAAGAGUUCUUAUUGAAAAAGAAGUUUGCGACCUCGAUGUUGAAUUAAAAUAUCUUCACAGUGCAGUCGUUGUGAGAAGA
rnacentral:rRNA from 1 species